rnacentral:rRNA from 1 species
GACGAACGCUGGCGGCGUGCUUAACACAUGCAAGUCGAACGAAGUGGCGAACGGGUGAGUAACGCGUAAACAACCUGCCCUUCAGCGGGGGACAACAGUUGGAAACGACUGCUAAUACCGCAUACUGAAGGAGGGGAUUGCGUCUGAUUAGGUAGUUGGGGGGGUAACGGCCCACCAAGGCGAUGGUCAGUAGCCGGUCUGAGAGGGUGAACGGCCACAUUGGGACUGGGACACGGCCCAGGCUCCUACGGGGGGCAGCAAGGGGGGAACUUCCGCAAUGGACGAAAGUCUGACGGGGCAACGCCGCGUGAGUGAUGACGGCCUUCGGGUUGUAAAGCUCUGUUAAUCGGGACGCGGUACCGGAAUAGAAAGCCACGGCUAACUACGUGCCAGCCGCCGCGGUAAUAC